rnacentral:rRNA from 1 species
UACGGAGGGUGCGAGCGUUGUCCGGAAUCAUUGGGCGUAAAGGGCGCGUAGGUGGCCCGGUCAGUUCGUGGUGAAAGCGCGGGGCUCAACCCUGCGUCGGCCAUGAAUACUGCCGCGGCUGGAGCACUGGUAGAGGCAGGCGGAAUUCCUGGUGUAGCGGUGAAAUGCGUAGAUAUCAAGAGGAACACCUGAGGUGAAGACGGGUGCUGGGCUGACACUGACGCUGAGGCGCGAAAGCCAGGGGAGCAAACGGG